UACGGAGGGGGCGAGCGUUGUCCGAAGUUACUGGGCGUAAAGCGCGCGUAGGCGGGUUGGUAAGUCCGCUGUGAAAGCCCGGAGCUUAACUCCGGAGGGUCGGUGGAUACUGCCAGUCUUGAAGGUGCUAGGGGGAGAUGGAAUUACCGGUGUAGCGGUGAAAUGCGUAGAUAUCAGGAGGAACACCGGUGGCGAAGGCGGAUCUCUGGGCCAUUACUGACGUGAGGAGCGAAAGCGUGGGGAGCGAACAGG
rnacentral:rRNA from 1 species